rnacentral:rRNA from 1 species
GACGUAGGGGGCAAGCGUUGUCCGGAUUUAUUGGGCGUAAAGAGCGUGUAGGCGGCCCGACAGGUCCGUUGUGAAAACUCGAGGCUCAACCUCGAGACGUCGAUGGAAACCGUCGGGCUAGAGUCCGGAAGAGGAGAGUGGAAUUCCUGGUGUAGCGGUGAAAUGCGCAGAUAUCAGGAGGAACACCCGUGGCGAAAGCGGCUCUCUGGGACGGUACUGACGCUGAGACGCGAAAGCGUGGGGAGCGAACAGG